rnacentral:rRNA from 1 species
GAGUUUGAUCUUGGCUCAGGAUGAACGCUAGCGGCGGGCCUAAUACAUGCAAGUCGAGGGGUAUAUUACUUUCGGGUAAUAGAGACCGGCGGACGGGUGCGUAACGCGUAUGCAACUUACCCACUACAAGGGAUAGCCCGGGGAAACUCGGAUUAAUACCCUAUGGUACUACAGGAGGGCAUCUGAAAGUAGUUAAAGAUUUAUCGGUAGUGGAUGGGCGUGCGUCUGAUUAGUUAGUUGGUGCGGUAACGGCGUACCAAGACGAUGAUCAGUAGGGGGUCUGAGAGGAUGAUCCCCCACACUGGCACUGAGAUACGGGCCAGACUCCUACGGGAGGCAGCAGUGGGGAAUAUUGGUCAAUGGGCGAGAGCCUGAACCAGCCACGCCGCGUGCAGGAAGACGGCCUUCUGGGUUGUAAACUGCUUUUUCUACAGGAAGAAAAGAUCCCUGCGGGGAGAAUUGACGGUACUGUAGGAAUAAGCACCGGCUAACUCCGUGCCAGCAGCCGCCGUAAC